GAGGGACCCCGGGAAGGGCCCCGGCCCCGGCCCCGGCAUUUCCCCGAUUUCCCCCCAAUUCCCGCAGGGGCUGGGGCCGGAGCGGGGCCAGCAGCCCCCGGUGCUGCCCCGGAACCCCCCGGGAGGAGGAGGAGCCGCCAGAGCAGCGCCGCCUAUCGCGGAAUCGCGGAAUCGCUGGGGUUGGAAUGGUUGGGAUGACCGAGUCCGACCUGGGCCCGAUCCCCGCCUGGCACUGAGGGCAACCUCCAGGCCUCCCCCGGACCCUCCAGGUGAAAGUCCCACAUUCCCUGUGGCUCUCCAGGUGUAAUUCCCACAUUCCCUGUGACCCUCACCUGGCUCCAGGUCCCCCAUCCCGGGCAGAGCUCCGUGCCUGAGGCAAAGCUCCACCGUGAGGAAAAGAAAUCCAGGGCUUUUCCUUCUGGAGCAUCCCUUGUGCUCUGCGAGCUUCAGGAAAAAAUUGGGAUGGCCUGGAUGUGCCAGAUCCGUCCCCAAAAGCCUGGGAAUUCCAUUGCAUCCCAAAGCUUGGGAAGAGGGACUCGAAUGGACCCGGAGCUGGAGCUUUUCCGGCAUUCCCAGCCGAAUCCUUGGAUUUAGGGAUGCUGCAGUUUGGAUGUCGCCGUUUUCCCGGCGGUUUUUCCCGGCUGAGCCGCUGGAUGGAGCAGGAGGAAAAGCCGUGGAUUGAUCUCCGCAGGAGCUCGGGAAUGAUUCCCAGCACGGAGCAGCCGAGGGGUCACAGAAUCAUGGAAUUGCUGAGGCUGGAAAACGCCGUCAGCAUCAUCAGAUCCGAGCUCCAGCGCGGGAUGGAGCCGCGAGGAAAAUCCGGAUUUAGGGAAUGGGCGGUUCCCCCAUCCAGGAUAUUCCAGGCUCCCGGGAAGGGCCGAUCCAAGGGGACGCCGCUCCCUGGGAGUGCCCAGCCCCGGCCGUGUCCCCAGGACGGGAGUGACUGUUGGGUUUUGGAGAGCCCCCUCCACACACAGCCAUCCAUCCACCAAAGGAGAAAAAAAAUCCCAUUUUUCCUAAGGAAUAUCUGGAUUUUGAGACAGUCCUUGACCCCCAAAUCCCAAUUUUAUUUUGGCUCCCUCCGUCCAUCCCUCUGGAGCUGAGCCUGAUUCACUCUUGGAUUUUUAUAGAACCCCUUCCACACACAACCAUCCAUCAACCAAAAGAGAAAAAUCCCGUUUUUCCUAAGGAAUAUGUGGAUUUAGAGGCAGUCCUUGACCCCCAAAUCCCCUUUUUAUUUUGGCUCCAUCCACCCCUCCAAAGCCGGGAUCGAUUCCUGCGUCAGGACGGAGCCGGAGGGAUCUCAGCUCUGCCCUCAUCCAGCGCCAAAAAUGGCAAAGGAAUCAAAGCUUGGAGCCCGGAAUCUCCUUGGAAGAGCAGCCAGGAAUCUCCUUGGAAGAUUGCAAGCACAGGAGGCCCUGGACAAUUCCUAGACCUGGAGGAUCUGAAACGCUUUGGGGUUUUUUUGUCCCCCUGAUAUUGGGGGCUGAGCAGUGGGGUCAGGAUCCAGGAUCGCCGGGAGAGGCUGGAAAAUCCCCGGCUGCGUUUGGGAUGUGUUUUCCCGGGAGCAGCCCCCGCGUUCUGUGGCUGCAGUAAACAAAUCAAUCUCUGCCGCCGAAGCCAUCCCGGAGGAGACUCCAAGGAACUCUGUCGGGUUUUAUGCCCAAAUAAAUCAUUCCUGCCCUGGCAACAGCGCUGGAUUUUUCCCCGGCAUCAGCAGUGCCGGAGAGGGCAGAAGCAUUCCCAGAUGGAAAUUGAGGGAAUGGAUCACUGUGACAGCAGUGGUACAAACAGCUUCGAUCCCUUCCCAGCUCCAUAAAUCCCUGCCAGCACUCGGGAAAGCUUCGAUUUCCAGCUCCCCACGUUCCAGAGGGGUUUGUGUUCCUGAAAUCCCCGGGAGGGGUGCAGGGAUGCUCCUGGAUGCAGGGAGAGGUUUCCUCCGGGAGCUGGGAAGGAGGAAUCGAGGGCGGGAGCUGCCGGGACUUUUCCAGCCAGGCCCGGAAAGGAUUUGGGAGGAUUUGGGACACCGGGAUGUCCCCAAGCUGUGGGCCAGGGGGUGGAGGGGGUGGGAAACCUGGGAAAGGGGAGGAAAUGGGGAUUGGAAACCACGCCUGGAAUGGGCAGGGAAUGAUCAUAGAAUGGGCAAGGAAUCCCACCCCUGGGACUAACGGACCAUUCCCUGGAUCAUUCUCUGCCCACUCCCUGCCCAUUCCCUGCCCAUUCCCUGGAUCAUUCCCUGGAUCUUUCCCCUGCCCACUCCCUGCCCACUCCCUGCCCAUUCCCUGCCCGUUCCCUGAAUGGAAGCCUUGGAUUUGGGAUUUCAGUACAUUCUCCCCCUGCUUUCCCCUUCCAGGGCCGUGUCCAUCCCCUCCGGCUGCGGCUCCAGAGCCGCGCUCGGAGCUGGGGGCGCAGGGAAGGCUGGGGAGAGGGAAAUGGGUUGGGUCUUUCCAAGGUUUUAUUGGGAAGCUCUGUUCUGCCUGGCUGCUGCACAUCCAGCUGGGAUGGACUCUUUUCCCUUAGUGGGAAUGCUCUGGAAAAGGCUGCAGUGUGACAGACGUCGGGGUGGCCCCAAUCCCUCCUGCUUCUCAUUCUGGGAAUGGCCCCAAUCCCUUCUGCCCCUCAUUCCCUGGGAAUGGCCCCAACCCC